AACAAAACACGGCAGCUUUAGUAUCAAUAUAAGAGGUCCCAAAUAGCUGAAUCUGCCCAAGAGCUUGGGGCAAAACCAUCCUUCUACAUUACUGUGGUUAUUAUUCAUUAACAGAAAGAAAUCAAUCUAGGAAGAAGAUUUUGGUUGGAAGCACCUAUUGUGUAUCUACACAUAUUUACCUUGUAAAGAAUUUGCAUAGGUUUGGUGAGUUCCACAUUUCUGAGAAAAGGAGCCAAGUACUUGAAGAGAUCGAUCAGCAGCUGGGCAUACAUAGGCCAACCCUGCAAAGGAGAGAAACAGCAAGAGUUGUUACUGUGAAUACAAAAACAGGACAGCCAUGCUACUAGAGCACUUCAGGAGAUGUGACAGCAUCACACCAGGCAUCCUUCUGGGUGAGCUUUUUAUUUCAGAGAAGAUGAACUGCAGCCACACCUUCUGCUGUGGUGUAUGUGCCAGCAUUCUUGCAAUAAAUAUCCGAUGGGAGAUCA